GGGCGCGUAGCUCAGCGGGAGAGCGCGUCGUUCACACCGACGAGGCCACAGGUUCGAUCCCUGUCGCGCCCA
rnacentral:tRNA from 1 species